rnacentral:rRNA from 1 species
CACGCCGUAAACGAUGAGUGCUAGGUGUCGGGUGUCAAAGCUCGGUGCCGGAGCUAACGCAUUAAGCACUCCGCCUGGGGAGUACGUUCGCAAGAAUGAAACUCAAAGGAAUUGACGGGGACCCGCACAAGCAGCGGAGCAUGUGGUUUAAUUCGAAGCAACGCGAAGAACCUUACCAGGGCUUGACAUGUCUCUGACCGAUCUAGAGAUAGAUCUUUACCUUCGGGUACAGGGAACACAGGUGG